rnacentral:rRNA from 1 species
AUUGAACGCUGGCGGCAUGCUUUACACAUGCAAGUCGAACGGCAGCACGGGUGCUUGCACCUGGUGGCGAGUGGCGAACGGGUGAGUAAUGUAUCGGAACGUACCCGGCAAUGGGGGAUAACGUCGCGAAAGUUACGCUAAUACCGCAUAUGCCCUGAGGGGGAAAGUGGGGGAUCGCAAGACCUCACGUUGUCGGAGCGGCCGAUUUCGGAUUAGCUAGUUGGUGGGGUAAAGGCCUACACAGGCGACGAUCGGUAGAUGGUCUGAGAGGACGACCAGCCACACUGGGACUGAGACACGGCCCAGACUACUACGGGAGGCAACAGUGGGGGAUUGUGGACAAUGAGGGCAACCCUGAUCCAGCCAUGCCGCGUGAGUGAAGAAGGCCUUCGGGUUGGAAAGCUCUUUCGGACAGAAAGAAAUCGCCACUUCUAAUCAAGGUGGUGGAUGACGGUACUGUAAGAAGAAGCACCGGCUAACUACGUGCCAGCCGCCGCUGUAA